UGUAACUGGAAUAAAAGACUCACCAUGACUUAGCAAGAAAUGAGGCUGGAUGGAGUCAGGUUCAACAUAAGCACUUUAUAAAAUACUUAUAUUUAAUUUCUGAUUUAAUUAAACAUUUCUUGGUCAUUAUUGUGAACAAGGCACUAAGUACACCAUGGAAAAUGUAAGAUGCAUUGCCAGCACUUUGCAGACGUGACAUUAUUCAGCCUCAAGUUUCCAGUGGCCAAAGGGAAAUGUUGACUGCAUUUCAUAAACUUGAAUUAGAGGUUUCUUAAUAUGGUUGAUGAAAACUAAUAUAAAGGCAAUGUGAUUUUCAUGGAAGCAUGCCAUGUUGUCAAGAGCCUCUUAGAUUUUUCUCGACUGUGAGAAAACUAGAAGUUUUAAAGAUGUGGAGUCUGGAAAGGAGAUCCUAGUCACUGUACAGUCAGGCACUAGCAGGAAUGGGGAGGGGCCAUUCGCAUCCCACAGAAAUACAAUCCACACCAAAACUGGCCAUGCGCUCGUCACAGAAUAUAAAUGAGUUAGCAGUUAAAACAUUUCAGAGAAAAUUUCCUUUCCCAUAAAUGCAUGAAGAUAAUAUCAGAGUCUUCUCACACUAUAUUUUUAGGAUAUUGGGAAAUUACAGGAUAUGAAGAAUUUAGAAGGUGGAGGAAUUAUAGCUUCAAAAUUUUCAAUUAAUAUAAAAAAAUCAGGAAGCUCUUCAUUCAGGCUAUGCACCAUGUGCACAGUCAAGAAUUGGCAGAAACCCUCUGCAUUUGCAAACACUUUGUGCUAUAAAAAUAAUUUUUAAAAAGCCACCUGUAUAAAUAUAUAUAUAUAUAUAUAUUUAAAGACACAGUUUUGAUACUUUUUUACAAAAAUUACAAAAAAACAAAUACCUGUACAAACCAUGUGCUUUUAAAAUAGCAUUUUGUUCUAUACUAAUUGUCAAUUUGAGGUAAAGUACUGGUUUGCAAACUCCAUCAUCUUGUAUCUGAGUGGAUUUUCCUUGUUUGUCUCCUUCCAAUCCCCAAAUUACUGUAUUUGAUGUAACAGUCGGGCAUGUUAGAAUGUUUGGUCACACCAACUGUUUCUGCUCUUUUUGUCUUACCAUUUCGAGUUCUGUUAGCUUCUGUACUCCAUGCCCUCUACAAUCUGGUUUCUCUUCCAGAGACAGAGGGAGUGAAGGUGUGUGCUGCAUCUCCCUAGCUGUACUGACAUCAUCUUGGUGAACUGAAAACCAAAUGUAGACAUUUGUAAAAUCAAUACAAUGUUUCUAGAG
rnacentral:lncRNA from 1 species